rnacentral:rRNA from 1 species
CAGUCGCCGCGGUAAUACGAAGGGGGCUAGCGUUGCUCGGAAUGACUGGGCGUAAAGGGCGCGUAGGCGGAUUGUUUAGUUAGGCGUGAAAUUCCUGGGCUUAACCUGGGGACUGCGCUUAAUACAGCAGUCUAGAGUGAGGAAGAGGGUUGUGGAAUUCCCAGUGUAGAGGUGAAAUUCGUAGAUAUUGGGAAGAACACCGGUGGCGAAGGCGACAACCUGGUCCUUGACUGACGCUGAGGCGCGAAAGCGUGGGGAGCAAACAGGAUUAGAUACCCCCGUAGUCCCUGUCUCUUAUACA